UGCAGACCACAGCCCAGCCUUUGCCGCAGAGUGGAGCAGGCGUGGUUGCUCCUGUAGCAAUGAGAGGAGGAGGUACAUUCCUACGCAUGCUCACAAGGCACCGCCCCCCCGUUGAAGCAUUUGAACAGCUGAUGAGUAUCCUCCCCCCCCCUCCCCGGCCUGUGCGAGUAGAUCAAAGGCGUAGGCUAUUUUCAAGCUGUUUGCCCCACCCCCGCUCCAGCUUUCACCAUAACCUGGAGGCGUUCGCCAGGGGCGAGCUUUUUAAGGUUAGACGCGGCGCUGUCUGCGGAGGGAGAUGAAUGAGGCAGGCACAGCAGCCUGGAUUGUGCCUUGCUUUCCCUCGGGCUCAGGGGCUGAGAGCUGCCCAGUCUCCGCUCGUGGGACGGGGGGGACUCUCCCAGUUGGGAUUUAUUUUUAAGAGCUGCUUUUUUUUUUUUUUUUUUUUUUUUAAAAAAAAAGAGCAUCUUGCUCUUGCAAUGACCGCUUUCCUAGUAUGUGGUUUACAAACCUCCCUUAUGACGAGCUUUGGGUUUGCAGCACGUCUAAAAUACCCCAGAUUCAAACAAGCCCCUUAUAGUAGCUGUAACUGCUCCACUUGACUAAUGCUAGUAAUGCUUUACAGAUUUAUGGUACCUUCCCUGGGAGGAUCUCAAAGCACUUUACAAACAUUCAUGAAUUAAGCUUCACAGUCCUCCCUGGGAAGUGGGUGUACAUUUCACUGGGGCCACAGGAACCCACAGAAGGUUUCCUCUUCCUUACCAGAUGAAUCUGAUUCACAAGGGAGGACUUAUUUACCUACUCAAAGCCAUUGAUGCCAAUGGAGCUCCACCAGCACAUCUCAGAUGCAGGCCUGAGGUCUAACGUCGUGCCAGGGGUGUUUAAAUUCAAGCUUUUCCUGCCUUACCAUGUUCUUAAAAUACAGUCAUUUUCUAACAUCAAAAAACUUGUGUUACCGGGGUGGAAACUUACAAACCAUAGAACAGUAUGCAGACUCACUGUGCCUAAUGUAGUUGGUUUAGAGUAUUUGGCUAACAAAUUACAUUUUUUUUUUUGAUAGCUUAAACAAGGGUCACUCCCAACUUUAAAGGGGAAGCUGCUGUAUUUUUUUUUCUAGAUUGCAGUAGAUUUGACCCCAAACCUGACUUACUAUAACUUGCAAAAAGAAAAAGAACUAUCUUCUGCAUAUUAAAUAUCUAUUUUUUUUUUUGUUUUAAACUAUCUCUAUAAAUAUCCUUAGGUACUAGUCUGCAUCCCAAGUAGUGCUGUGCACAAAAAGAAAUGUAAUGGUAAAGAAUAUAAUUUUCCUUUUAAAAUCUCCCACUGGUUUGUGCUCUUGUUUUGCCUUUGCAGUGGUUAAUUUACAAAUGCAGUUGUCAGCAUUGUGCCACAUGAAAUAAAUAUGCAACCUUCAGGGACUACAAGUGUAGGGUCCUCUAAACAUACCAACACAGAUGCCAGUUCAGCAUCGAACUUGAGCACAAGGUUAACUUUAAAUCGGUGAAUAAUCCCAUUGACUUCAAUGGGACUGCUCUCAAACUUAAGUGCCCUGUUGACUCGGGAUCAUAUAUAUAGGUAAAAAGCACAGUAUUGCUGUAUCCAGAGUGUAAGUGUUUGCUGGUAUAGUAUAACACUUAUACACAAGUAUACCUAGACGAGCAAAGCCCUGCUAGUGUAGACAUGACCCAUAACAGUACAUAGAGCAGUACUUCGUGGCUUCCAGCUUCUGAUCAAGUCUUGGUGCUGUAUGUAUUUUGUGUUAAAGGUGACUUGCAAAAUAUUUUUUAAUUGGAUUUACCCCCGCCUUCCCUUCUUGAUGUUUAGAGAAUGUCUAGCAUGUUUUGUUUUUAAAGGUUUUGUUUUCCUACUUGCUUUUUUUUAACCUUUUGAAAUAUUUUAUGUCAACUUUUGUUUUCCAUGAUGGAUGGAUGGUGUGAGCUCUCGAAGUUUAUUUGAAAUAGGGAAAAUAGGAAAUAUUUGACAAAAGCUUCCUUUCUUCAAAUAGUUAAUUAGUGGGGGCGGGGGGUUGUUUUUGUUUUUUAAUAAAGCAUUUAAGAGUUUUAAACAGUCAUGCUAAGGCCUUGUCUUCAUUGCCGGGGUGGGGUAGGUGAGUGGGUGUAUUCUGUUUCUAGCCUUUAAUGGUCAGCCAACCUUGGUGGGGUUAACCACUGCUUAAAACCAGAGUAAGCUCCUUAGCAGUGUACCCCUGGUGGUAUGCAGAGUUCUUCCACGGGGUACAUCAACUCACCUAGAUAUUUGCCUAGUUUUACAGCAGGCUACAUAAAAAGCACUAGCAUAGUCAGUACAAACUAAAAUAACAUACAAUUACUUGUUUAUACUGCUCUAUA